CAGUAGCCGCGGUAAUACAGAGGGUGCAAGCGUUAAUCGGAAUUACUGGGCGUAAAGCGCGCGUAGGUGGUUCGCCAAGUUGGAUGUGAAAUCCCCGGGCUCAACCUGGGAACUGCAUCCAAAACUGGCGAGCUAGAGUAUGGUAGAGGGUGGUGGAAUUUCCUGUGUAGCGGUGAAAUGCGUAGAUAUAGGAAGGAACAUCAAUGGCGAAGGCAGCCACCUGGGCCUGUACUGACACUGAGACACGAAAGCGUGGGGAUCAAACAGGAUUAGAUACCCCGGUAGUCCCUGUCUCUUAUAA
rnacentral:rRNA from 1 species